UGCCCUAUGAUUGUUUAAAUGGCUGCAGUAUUAUGACUGUACAAAGGUAGCAUAAUCAAUAGUUUCUUAAUUAGAAGCUGGAAUGAAUGAAUUAACGAAAAAUUUACUGUCUCUGAUUAAAAUUUUAAAAUUUUAUUUUUAAGUUAAAAAGCUUAAAUAUUAUUAAAAGACGAGAAGACCCUAUAGAGUUUUAUAUAUUUAUAUUAUAUUUAUAAAAGUAUAAUUAGAGUGUAUUUUAUUGGGGUGAUAAGAAAAUUUAAUUAACUUUUCUAUAUUUAAACAUUUUUAAUUGAAUUAUUGAUCCAUAUUAAUGAUUAAAAGAUUAAAUUACCUUAGGGAUAACAGCGUAAUAUUUUUUUAAAGUUCUUAUUAAAAGAAAUGAUUGCGACCU
rnacentral:rRNA from 1 species